GUACCCUCAAGCUUUGCUUGGUGUUGGGCGUCUUGUCUCUAGCUUUGCUGGAGACUCGCCUUAAAGUAAUUGGCAGCCGGCCUACUGGUUUCGGAGCGCAGCACAAGUCGCACUCUCUAUCAGCAAAGGUCUAGCAUCCAUUAAGCCUUUUUUUCAACUU
rnacentral:misc_RNA from 1 species